UCUGAACCCCCUUAGUGCCCCACGGAAAAGAGCUGGGAAGAUGCUGGGCUUUAGAUGUCUUCAUUCAAUAAAGAAUGCAAGGAGCUGUCCAAUCGAACUGAAUGAAAAAGAUGAAAACAGCCAAAGCAAAGAAAGGAAUAAGCUGCAUGGACAAAAAGAAUAUCUUUUCUGGAUGUUACUUGCUUCAUUUUGAUGAGAAAUCAUACCAAAGCAGGAAGGAGAGCAACAGAUGUCAAAGGAAACUGAAAACUCAAAAGGAUAAGAACAUUCUACCUACCUAUCUAGCCUGUCAUCCACAGAUUCCACAAUGACAAUUUAUAACAAAGGAAGAUUAUUGUUUAAAAUCUGUAUUUGUUUCCUAACCUGUAGCAAACAGUCUUGGGGCAGGUUAUAA
rnacentral:lncRNA from 1 species